CAACGGCAUAUCGAGAAGCUAAAACAAAGACAAGAACGUCAAAAUCAUCAGGCAACAUGUUAUAAUACGAACCACACCGGACCAUGCCCAACGCAACCGGCAGAAGAGGCAGUAAGCACAUUGUGGCCAGAACCAGAGCAAAUUCAGGGACUUCAAGUUGACUCACGACUGCCAGUUACUGCGUUUGGUGUGCCCAUUCCCACCUUUACCCCAACUGAAUUCUCUUUACCAUGGCUACAUACAGCGAGGUCGAAGAAUCGACGCACCAAACGAUCUACGGGUAGAAGAAAAUCUUCUAGAAGAUAAGCUGGCACAGCGACAGGCUAAACUUGUUUUUAAUCUAAUUACUAUUUUAAAACAUAGCUGUAGCGACGUCUUCUUAAUGAUUUGUUUUUAACUCUGAAGUGCGUUAUUCCUGCAGUGUUAAAUAGGGCACCAAAGAUGUUUUUACUCUUUAUUUUUAAUGAACGCAAUGUACUAAAUCGAUAAACUACUGUUAUCGAUUCAA